rnacentral:lncRNA from 1 species
AACACAUGCCUGGUUGCCAUCUGCAAACCUGGCUUUUUUCCAGGUGUUCUAGUUUAAUCAGUGAUACUGCUUUUCAUCAAACUGCAUAAACAAAACAUUGGAGUCCACCCUCGAAGCCUUUUUCCCCAUCUUGAAUUCACCAACUUCUCUAUAUUUCCACCGUUAUUUUCCUAUCCAAGCUAGUGUCAUGUCUUGCUUGAACUACAAGUCUCCAUCCAUUCUUGUCCCUUCCAAACCAGUUUAUAUUUUGCAGCCAAACUGGUCAUUUUAAUGUGUGAAUCGGAAUAGUAACUUACCUUUUUACUUCCUGUAGAUGUGGGUGCCUAUGUGUACACAAACAUGUGAGCUUGUACGCAUGCAUUUAAGAACUCUUAUUCCACAGUUGUUAGGAUGAAAUACCAAUUUUGAAUAUAUGGUUUAUAAUGCUGUAACAGGCAAAGGCUUGGCAGAAAACAGAUGACACACUCAAGUGAAUAAUUAAGAAGGAUUUAAUAAAAAGACUAUUUUAAAAAAUGUGGGCUAGGUUAAGGGAAAGCAGCAAAGGAUGUAAGGCACCCUGUGGUUAGAAACAGUAGGGAGCUAUCAACUCUUAGAAGUAAAGAGGCAAAGGAAGGAAGGAAGGGAACAUUACUGAAAAGGAAAGAGGGGAGGAGAGAGAGAGAGAAAGAAAGAGAGAGAGAGAGAGAAGAGGGCCAUCAUGCAUGAUCUGCUUUAAGUAGAGAGGCACAGCCACUGCUAACACAGGGCACAGCAAAGAAAGAGGUAGAGGAAUACAUUAUUUCCUCACUCUCAUUUCAAUAUCCAGUUUCCUGACAGUGCCUCCCGUUGGCUAAGGCACCACACCUGGAAGCUGGAGGGCAGGGAAGCUAUUGAUAGAGUUCUUAAAGGUUGCCCUUGUUGGAGAAGAAAGUAGGGCCGAUCUGGAGGACCACAUCCAGCAUAGAGAUUUUCAGCCCCAUGAUCUACUAGUCAGUCAUGUUAUGCCAUACCUUUCCCUAAUACUCCGUUCCAUCCACAUAGGUCUUCUUCUUUCAGUUACUCAGAUUUUACAUAUGCUGCUGUCUCCACCUAGAAAUGCCCCCAUGUCCAACAUUUUUCUUUCAGUAUGAAUUUAUAUUAUCCCAUAAUGUGUUCAUACUAUUUUUUUAGCCCAAUGGGUUAGUGAGCAGCAUAAUAAUUAGGAGUCCUUGGAAAGACAUUGACUCUGACCAGACAAGAUUAAGAAUCUCCAGUUGUCAUCUUUCAAUUUUUAUUUAGUAUUUUAUUUCAUAAACUUACGUUAUUAAUUGGCUUUCAAAACAAAUCAUGUAAAAUAAAAGGAGUCUUUCCUGUGUUUUUUGUGUGCAAAUCAAAAUGCGAAAUGAUAUAUUAUUAUAUUAUUAA